rnacentral:rRNA from 1 species
GACGAACGCUGGCGGCGUGCUUAACACAUGCAAGUCGAACGGAAAGGCCCUGCUUUUGUGGGGUGCUCGAGUGGCGAACGGGUGAGUAACCCGUGAGUACCCUGCCCUUGCCUUUGGGAUAACUUCAGGAAACUGGGGCUAAUACCGGAUAGGAGCUCCUGCUGCAUGGUGGGGGUUGGAAAGUUUCGGCGGUUGGGGAUGGACUCGCGGCUUAUCAGCUUGUUGGUGGGGUAGUGGCUUACCAAGGCUUUGACGGGUAGCCGGCCUGAGAGGGUGACCGGCCACAUUGGGACUGAGAUACGGCCCAGACUCCUACGGGAGGCAGCAGUGGGGAAUAUUGCACAAUGGGCGGAAGCCUGAUGCAGCAACGCCGCGUGCGGGAUGACGGCCUUCGGGUUGUAAACCGCUUUCGCCUGUGACGAAGCGUGAGUGACGGUAAUGGGUAAAGAAGCACCGGCUAACUACGUG